UGGGGGGGCAGGAAGGGUCAAUUCAGCAGUCACAGCUUCCUGGCUGAGGAGCCACCUGUUCUGUCUGAGGAUCUCAUGGCAGGAAGGAGAUCAGACCUUUCAUGAAGCACAAGGAUACUGCGGGGGGCCUCAGAGGCACUGAUGGAGAGGCUAUUUCAUAAACCAGUGCUGCAGGCUCUGGCUAUUGUCCAGCCUUCAUGGAGUGAUGGGAACAGCAUGAAUAUUGAAUCAGAACUGGACUGGAUGCCCUCCUCCAGCUCUGACUAGCUGUGUGACUUUGGAUUAGGAACCUGAGGCCAGAGAGCUCAAGGAAGCAGCUGAAGGUCACCCAGUAUUUGGCAAAGCCGGGAUUCCAGGAUCGGCGACCCCUUCUGGUCCUCGGGCUAGAGAUCGUUUACAGGAAGGGAUGGGGAAUGAACACAUCACCAAGGCCAGAGACUUCACCUUGCAAAUGAGAAGAGAAGCAAUUCCUAAUGCGACAGAAAGACAGUCUUGUGAGGCAAUCACUUCAGAGACAUCCUUGUAGAAUAAACACCACUAAAUAAAGAGCCCAGCCGCC